GACGAACGCUGGCGGCGUGCCUAAUACAUGCAAGUUGAGCGCUGAAGGUUGGUACUUGUACCAACUGGAUGAGCAGCGAACGGGUGAGUAACGCGUGGGGAAUCUGCCUUUGAGCGGGGGACAACAUUUGGAAACGAAUGCUAAUACCGCAUAAAAACUUUAAACACAAGUUUUAAGUUUGAAAGAUGCAAUUGCAUCACUCAAAGAUGAUCCCGCGUUGUAUUAGCUAGUUGGUGAGGUAAAGGCUCACCAAGGCGAUGAUACAUAGCCGACCUGAGAGGGUGGGAGGCCAAAGUGGGAACGAGACAAGGACAAAACGACGUCGGGAGGAGGCAGUAGGGAAGAUAGGGCAAGGGAUGAGAAUAUGAACGAGCGAGGGGGAGAGAGUGACGAGGGUGUUCGGAGCGAAAAACUCGGUUGGUAGAGAAGAACGUAAGUGGGAGUGGCAAGCUCAUCAAGUGACGGUAACUACCCAGAAAGAGACGGCCAACUACAUC
rnacentral:rRNA from 1 species